GACGAACGCUGGCGGCGUGCUUAACACAUGCAAGUCGAACGGAAAGGCCCUGCUUUUGUGGGGUGCUCGAGUGGCGAACGGGUGAGUAACACGUGAGUAACCUGCCCUUGACUUUGGGAUAACUUCAGGAAACUGGGGCUAAUACCGGAUAGGAGCUCCUGCUGCAUGGUGGGGGUUGGAAAGUUUCGGCGGUUGGGGAUGGACUCGCGGCUUAUCAGCUUGUUGGUGGGGUAGUGGCUUACCAAGGCUUUGACGGGUAGCCGGCCUGAGAGGGUGACCGGCCACAUUGGGACUGAGGUACGGCACAGACUCCUACGGGAGGCAGCAGUGGGGAAUAUUGCACAAUGGACGGAAGCCUGAUGCAGCAACGCCGCGUGCGGGAUAACCGCCUUCGGGUUGUAAACCGCUUUCGCCUGUGACGAAGCGUGAGUGACGGUAAUGGGUAAAGAAGCACCGGCUAAAUACGUG
rnacentral:rRNA from 1 species